rnacentral:rRNA from 1 species
UACGGAGGGGACGAGCGUUGUUCGGAAUUAUUGGGCGUAAAGAGCGUGUAGGUGGUCAGAAAAGUCAGACGUGAAAUCCCUCUGCUCAACGGAGGAAGGGCGUUUGAAACUUUCUGGCUUGAGUAUGGGAGAGGAGAGUGGAAUUCCCAGUGUAGCGGUGAAAUGCGUAGAUAUUGGGAAGAACACCGGUGGCGUAGGCGGCUCUCUGGCCCAUUACUGACACUGAGACGCGAAAGCUAGGGGAG